GACGAACGCUGGCGGCGUGCCUAAUACAUGCAAGUAGAACGCUGAAGGAGGAGCUUGCUUCUCUGGAUGAGUUGCGAACGGGUGAGUAACGCGUAGGUAACCUGCCUGGUAGCGGGGGAUAACUAUUGGAAACGAUAGCUAAUACCGCAUAAGAGUAGAUGUUGCAUGACAUUUGCUUAAAAGGUGCAAUUGCAUCACUACCAGAUGGACCUGCGUUGUAUUAGCUAGUUGGUGGGGUAACGGCUUACCAAGGCGACGAUACAUAGCCGACCUGAGAGGGUGAUCGGCCACACUGGGACUGAGACACGGCCCAGACUCCUACGGGAGGCAGCAGUAGGGAAUCUUCGGCAAUGGACGGAAGUCUGACCGAGCAACGCCGCGUGAGUGAAGAAGGUUUUCGGAUCGUAAAGCUCUGUUGUAAGAGAAGAACGAGUGUGAGAGUGGAAAGUUCACACUGUGGCGGUAUUUUACCAGAAAGGGGCGGCUAACUACGU
rnacentral:rRNA from 1 species